rnacentral:rRNA from 1 species
AUUUACAAGGUGCUGCAUGGUUGUCGUCAGCUCGUGCCGUGAGGUGUCGGGUUAAGUCCCAUAACGAGCGCAACCCUACCUUUAGUUGCCAUCAGGUAAUGCUGGGGACUCUAAAGGAACUGCCUACGCAAGUAGUGAGGAAGGCGGGGAUGACGUCAAAUCAGCACGGCCCUUACGUCCAGGGCUGCACACGUGCUACAAUGGCCGAUACAGAGGGCAGCUACCUGGUGACAGGAUGCAAAUCUCCAAAGUCGGUCUCAGUUCGGAUCGGAGUCUGCAACCCGACUCCGUGAAGUUGGAUUCGCUAGUAAUCGCGCAUCAGCCAUGGCGCGGUGAAUACGUUCCCGGGCCUU